UACAGAGGGUGCGAGCGUUAAUCGGAAUGACUGGGCGUAAAGGGCGCGUAGGCGGUAGGACAAGUUAGAUUUGAAAUACCUGAGCUUAACUUGGGUAGGUGAUCUAAGACUGUUUUACUAGAAUGCAGUAGAGGGUAGUGGAAUUUCCGGCGUAGCGGUGAAAUGCGUAGAGUUCGGAAGGAACACCGGUGGCGAAGGCGGCUACCUGGACUGUGAUUGACGUUGAGGCGCGAAAGCGUGGGUAG
rnacentral:rRNA from 1 species